rnacentral:pre_miRNA from 1 species
AGAGGGAUAGUUGGGUCAAAUGGUGGUUCCAUUCCAAGAAAUCUCCACAGUGCUUUCCAUAUUGGCUACACCAAUUUGCAGUCCCACCAGCAAU